GAAAUAAAUCGAAAAUAAGCUUCUAACUUAUUUAAUAGCAAUUUGUUAUUAUUUCU
rnacentral:tRNA from 1 species